AACGUACGCUGGCGGCACGCCUAACACAUGCAAGUCGAACGAAGUAGCAAUACUUAGUGGCAGACGGGUGAGUAACAUGUAGGUAUCUGCCCUCUGGCCUGGAAUAACACGAGGAAACUUGUGCUAAUACCGGAUAAAAAAAAACAGAGAAAGCUUUAUGCACCAUUGGAUGAGCCUGCACUUGAUUAGUUUGUUGGUAGGGUAAUGGCCUACCAAGACUGUGAUCAAUAGCUGAUUUGAGAGGAUGAUCAGCCACAUUGGGACUGAGACACGGCCCAAACUCCUACGGGAGGCAGCAGUGGGGAAUCUUGCACAAUGGAGGAAACUCUGAUGCAGCGAUGCCGCGUGAGUGAAGAAGGCCUUUGGGGAGUAAAGCUCUUUCGUCGGGGAAGAAAAUGACUGUACCCGAAUAAGAAGGUCCGGCUAACUUCGUGCCUU
rnacentral:rRNA from 1 species